CUCGGCCGCGGGCCCUGCAGUCCUCUCGGCGCGUCACGCGACAAAGUUGUCUCCAGGCUCCCGCGGCGCCGCAUCCACUGUAGAACGGGCCGCGGCGCGCUUCCCCCGGCCUCCGCACCGCCUCGCUCGCUCCCUCCGCCUGCGUGCCUGCCCGGGCUGGCGGGACGCGGAGCCCUCCUCGUCCCUGUCUUCUGCCUGGCUCGGCGGCGGCGAGGUCCACUCGAGCCCCCAAAAGUCUCUGGCUCCCGCGGGAUUGGUGCCCUCGCUGGCGCUCACACUGGCACAAGCCGCAAGGCCGAGGGAGAGCGGGCGGGUGGCGGUGGCGUCUCUGCGCCCCGCCGCGCGCGGAGAGCAGAGCACGCCGAGAAGGAGUUCUUCGCUUUGCCCUCUCUUUUACACUCCGGGUUUUUUAUCCCGAGGGGUAAAAAAGCCGCACAGUCUCCAUAUGUGCGCGCGCGUGGAGAUAGACGUCGGCAGAAAGGGGGCGGAGGAGUGUCGUCCUGGCCGUGCGGGAGGAGACGGUCCGCGCCUCCCCACUCGGGCUUCCCCGGGGCGGAGGGGAAGGCGGAAUCUGUUCAGGUCGGUGCUGCCCGCUCCCCCGCCCACCUCUGCUCUCCUCUGCUUUUUGCUUUCUGCCUUCUCCAGUAGGGGCGAGUCUGUCCUGUGCGUCCCCCACCCACCCACCCACCCCGCAAUGCCAGGCCACUUUUGCUGCCUCGAAACUUUCCCACCACGUGGGUGCCCAGACCCUCGCCCGGCUGUGCAGCGGGCCACACCGACAGACUCCAGACGCGGGAUUGGGCGCUCGCCCUCGCCGCCGUCCCUCCCCAUCCCCGACCAGGGGCUCGGUGACACCUAUGUCAGACUGGCUGGAGCUCCAAACGAAGUGACUGGGCAAGCUCCUCACAGAACCCAAGAAAGAAUGGUUCCAGACUCCGUGCUCCGGCCACUAGACAAGAAACGCUGUCAAUGGAAAUCUGACUCCUAGCCCUGUCCAGAACCCCGAGUGCAAUAGUUCCUUCCCAUCGUCCUCAGGUGCCCACCUGGGUCUGAAACAGCAGGACAGAGCUCACAGGGUACAAUGCCCUGGGUCAGGAACACAGCCUCUCCACCUCUUUUCACUAACCUGGGCCUCACUCGGGAACAGGCGAGACUUCGAGGGACAAGUAGGGUGGGAGGCCCUUCUGGCUUUCCUCAGACACUGAAGGACGACCAAUGCUGAGGGAGUCCCCCUCCCCCAAAGGAGAAACUUUCAGGCCAGCUUUUCUUACGGAGUUGGGCCAGGACCACAGCCCCACAAGUCUGGAGGCGGAGCGCCCCCUCCCUCCCAAUCCGAGGAACCGACCCAAAGUCCGCCGGGCAAAACUAGGGCCGGUCUGAGUUUCCCUACGCUUAGCAGCCCUUCUGCCCUCUUAAGACAUUCGAGUCCCGUUCUCUGCUGCCCCCGUCUGGCUUCCGCCACCUGCCCUCUGCUGGAGCCCAUGGUUCCUGGGCAGGAGGGGGAUGCUCAAAGUCGGGCUGGGCCCACUAUGCUGUUUGCAUAGUCUCACGAGGAACUUGCACUCUGGCCUUCUGCAUCACCAAAGUCACCAAUCACUUGGCAUACUCAUCUUCCGUCUUUGGGACCCACCCUAGCUCCUCAGUAAAGCCCUUUCUGGCCCUCUUGUGCCCUGAUUAGUGAUUUGCCUGGCUGUUACAUACUCACCCAUCUUCACUGCAGGGACCGACUGGGCCUCAU
rnacentral:lncRNA from 1 species